rnacentral:rRNA from 1 species
UACGUAGGGCGCAAGCGUUGUCCGGAAUUAUUGGGCGUAAAGAGCUCGUAGGUGGUUUGUCGCGUUGUUCGUGAAAACUCACAGCUCAACUGUGGGCGUGCGGGCGAUACGGGCAGACUAGAGUACUGCAGGGGAGACUGGAAUUCCUGGUGUAGCGGUGAAAUGCGCAGAUAUCAGGAGGAACACCGGUGGCGAAGGCGGGUCUCUGGGCCGAUACUGACGCUGAGGAGCGAAAGCGUGGGGGAGCAAACAGG